rnacentral:tRNA from 1 species
GGUCUCGUAGCUUGAAGGUUCAAGCAAACCGCUCAUAACGGUUAGUUCUUGGUUCAAUUCCAGGCGGGACUACAA